rnacentral:tRNA from 1 species
AGGGAUAUAAUUUAGCUGAUAGAAUGCCGACAUUGUAUGUUGAAAGCCUAGGUUCGAAUCCUAGUAUCUCUA